CGCAGCCUGAUCUAGCCAUGCCGCGUGUGUGAUGAAGGUCUUAGGAUCGUAAAGCACUUUCGCCAGGGAUGAUAAUGACAGUACCUGGUAAAGAAACCCCGGCUAACUCCGUGCCAGCAGCCGCGGUAAUACGGAGGGGGUUAGCGUUGUUCGGAAUUACUGGGCGUAAAGCGUACGUAGGCGGAUCAGAAAGUAAGGGGUGAAAUCCCAGGGCUCAACCCUGGAACUGCCUCUUAAACUCCUGGUCUUGAGUUCGAGAGAGGUGAGUGGAAUUCCAAGUGUAGAGGUGAAAUUCGUAGAUAUUUGGAGGAACACCAGUGGCGAAGGCGGCUCACUGGCUCGAUACUGACGCUGAGGUACGAAAGUGUGGGGAGCAAACAGGAUUAGAUACCCUGGUAGUCCACACCGUAAACGAUGAAUGCCAGUCGUCGGGCAGUAUACUGUUCGGUGACACACCUAACGGAUUAAGCAUUCCGCCUGGGGAGUACGGUCGCAAGAUUAAAACUCAAAUG
rnacentral:rRNA from 1 species